CUACUCUUGACAUCCAGCGAACUUUCCAGAGAUGGAUUGGUGCCUUCGGGAACGCUGAGACAGGUGCUGCAUGGCUGUCGUCAGCUCGUGUUGUGAAAUGUUGGGUUAAGUCCCGCAACGAGCGCAACCCUUAUCCUUUGUUGCCAGCGAUUCGGUCGGGAACUCAAAGGAGACUGCCGGUGAUAAACCGGAGGAAGGUGGGGAUGACGUCAAGUCAUCAUGGCCCUUACGAGUAGGGCUACACACGUGCUACAAUGGCGCAUACAAAGAGAAGCGACCUCGCGAGAGCAAGCGGACCUCAUAAAGUGCGUCGUAGUCCGGAUCGGAGUCUGCAACUCGACUCCGUGAAGUCGGAAUCGCUAGUAAUCGUGGAUCAGAAUGCCACGGUGAAUA
rnacentral:rRNA from 1 species